CCAACGGCUGAGUUGCAACACAAUCGAAUUGCGGGGAAGUCCUAAAGCCUCAGGGUACUAACCUGCUGUAGGAAUGCAGCAGGGGCCUGUGUUAAUCGCACAGGGUAUAGUAACAACCCCGGAGGAUCUAGCCAGGUGUGCUAGAAUGGACGAUCCGCAGCGAAGCCCCUAGACCAGGGGAACGUUCACAGACUAAGUGGUUGUGGGUAGGAGGGACUCCUGCUUAAGAUAUAGUCGGGCCGGCGCGGAAACGCGCUGGGGAUUCGCAAGAACGUAAACCGCUCCGUAGGUGAACCUGCGGAGGGAUC
rnacentral:ncRNA from 1 species